UGCUGGGGCCAGCUUGCCAGUGCCUGCCAGAGUGGGGCCAACACAGAGGAGGGCCCAGCUACAUGCUGGAGAGACACCAGUCCUGACCACGCACCCAGGCCUGAUACGCGCACCGAUUCAGCUCACGCCAGGUAGAGCCUUCCUCUGCGGCCUCCUCUUCUUCAUCUGGAGAUUCUGUGCUUAGAUGAGAGGAAGAUCAUGCUACUAGCAAAUGCCCGAGGAGGAGCCUGCAUCAGAGAGGGAGAGAGGCAGCCAGGUGUCACGGCGAACCGUAACCUGGAGCCAGAAGACCUGAGUCUAACCUGUGAGCUCCUGAUCCCGCGCGCCCUCUCUCUAAGCCUCAGUUUCCUCAUCUGUAGAAUGGAGGCGCACCCAUGAAGAUCAAGAGCAUGGUAAAGUCGCCGUGCUGAUGCGGAGGCAGGGAAGCUGUGUGAAGCGUGCUUUUCAUCUCAGCAUGGUUUUGAUUCAAACACUUGUGUAGACUGGUAAAUAGACAGACAAACCCUCAAAUCAGGCCCAUCAAACAAAAUGUGAUCAGCCAGGGAUUUCAAAGGAGUGUGAUGAGACUGUAACAGGUGGUUUUCCUGCUGCUGGGGUGGGAAGGUAAGCAGCGUAUGGGGAAGAAAGGCUGAGAGACUUUUCUGCUUUUUUUCUCUACUCACUCAAAAAUUAUGGAUAGGUAUCCCUUUACUGGUUCCGCUGAGUGAUUCCAAGAACAGAUAAGACAUGGGUGGCCCCAUCCCUGAGAAACCCUCAGGUAGAUGUAGGGACAGAGAUCACUCAGUCAUUCAACAAACAUGCAAGGAGCCACUUGGGAAAAUGGUUGUGAAGGAUGCCCAGGAUGCUUCGCCAUGGUCCCUGCUCUCUAGAAGCUUGUAGAAGCAGGGAAGAUCAUCCAUAGCAGCCAAGGCUGUAUUUUCACAAGAGGAAAUUACCACCAUGCUGUCGAUUAUGUGACAACUGAAGGACCACGGGGCUGAGCGUUCAGAGCCAAGACAGCUUCACUAAGAACGGCUUCCUGAGGAGGGCAGAGCCCAGGGAGGAGGCCCCGGAUGGAGAGGCUGUGCUGAGAGGAGGUGGGGGUGACCCCUGUGGAAUGCUGGGGAGCAGGGCGUCCUUCAGGAGAGCAAUGUGUGAGAGCCGGAGAGGAGAGGGCAGCCAGUGGGCAGACUGGGGCCCUGGGGCACGAGGGAGCCCCCUCCAGACUCCCUCUAGCCAGGCAGCUGUGUUGCCCUGAGCCGCAGUGGGGAAUAAACUGACUAUUAUUCCCUCUUCAGCUCAGCCAGGGGUUUUGCCCUGCCUACCACCAGAGUAAACAGGAGCUGGGCACUUCCAGCAGAGGAGAUGUCAGGGCCGACAUGGAGGCACAUCAGACCUCCUGGCCCCUGGCACCCCAGGCCUGGCUGGUCCCGGCUCCUGCUGACCUCAGCUCGGCCUGAGGCGCCAGGCGCCUGGGUCACCUGUUCUGUGUCUGAAUUAAAAUCCUCUCAUGUUGCAGAUGGUGACUCUGCCUCUGUCUGCCGGGCCACCCUCUGUCCAGCAGGCCUGGCGGAGUCACAUAAAUAUUGAUUGUCUGCUCAGCCACCUGGGAAGCGAGAGCGAAGCGGGCCAGGAGGAGGAGCCCCAUGAGGCAGCCCUGGACAAAUGGAGUCCUAAUGCCAAAGGCCGGCCGAAGGACCUCUCUGGCCUGCUGCCCAUGGGAGAGGCAGGAGUGCCAGGGUGGAGAGUGCCCUGGAAGGUGGUAAACACCAAACCUGGGAGGGGGGUCGCCAAGCGGGGCAGGGCUUUGUGUGUCAUGACCUGCUUCUUUAUAUCCUUCUGGAUGUCUGAACAGUUCAAAGCACAAUUUUGUUUAGUGACCUUGAGAGUUCAUUGAAUCCUUCCCCCAGCCUCUAGCCAUGCAAGCUGGUGAUGUUCUAGUCUAAGUUCAAGGUGCUGAGAAAGGAAUUCCCGAGACCCCAGCACAUCCCAGGCCCCGUCCUGCUCUGUGCCCUUCCUGAAGCUUGGUUAAGGGAGGCUGCUCCUUCCGAACAAGUCCCGACUGUGCGUGAGGAGGGAGCCCUGGCUCGCGUCCUCUGCUCUGGGCAGGGGCCCUGCAGUGCUCCUGAAGUUGCCCCCGAGUCGUCUUCUUUGCCCAGAUCCUUCUAGCUCCCGCCACCUCCCUGCCCCACCCUCUAAGUGGUCAGCAAGGAGAGAGACAUCUGUCACCUGUGGGGGAAAGUGAGCCUUUUGGAGAGAAGCACAGACUCCAAACAACCUUUUGACCACCCUUUUCUCUUUGUUGAUUCCCAUCUUCCCAAGACAGAUGCCCUUUUAAGGACUGGGGACUUAGAGAAGACCAAGAAUCUCCAUAAGAAAUUUUCCAUCUCUGGGUGUUGCUGAUGCGGAUCAGGUGACUAAGGAAGAGGCUGAAAUCCCCUCUGGCCCUGUCAGUCACUUGGGUAUAACUGGAGCAAAGGGACAGCUAUUUCCAUUUUAGGGGGACCCCUUCUACCUGGAGAUUCAAGGCCAAGCCAUCAAACAUCAGAGGAUAUCUGAUAACCCCAGCCAGAUGGUAAACUGUGGGGUAGAGAUGUCUUCUAUGGUGGUAUGGUGGUGCUGGGCAUACAGCAGGCACUUCAUUAAUGUUUGUUGCAGUGCUGGGAAAAAAAUCAGCCUAGGUCAGAGCGCUUGCCUAGCUGGAGAACAACUGGGGACACAGGAUGUAAAGUGGGCAAGCUUUGAAAUCAAACAUGGAUUUGAACAUCAGCUCUGACACUUAUCAGCCAUGUGACCUGGGGGAUGUCGCGUCCCCUCUCUCUAACUGGGGGUUUCUGGAGCUAUAAAAGGUCAUGCUUAAUGGUGCCUACCUCAUAGGGGUGUUGUACGGUUAAUCCAUCUAAUAGAAUGCCACUGGUCCCAUGGCAGGUGCUAUCAUCCCAGCCCCAACCACGGAUACCCUGAUUCCUGAGAAGGCUCCUGAGCUCCUGAUGGAGAUGGUAGCGUUCCGUCCUUGCCUGGGUUUGCGUUUCUGGAUCAUCUAUUUUCUAAUUCUGUCAUAACUCUUUUUUUUGGUCAGCCUUUAUCUUUCUCCCCUUUGGUUUCUCUUCUCAUAUUCCCUUUUCUCGCCAACACGCUUGCUUUCUGUUAUCUUGACCCCACCCCACGGUUCCCACUCCUUCCCUCUUCCUUUCUCCCUCCUGACUCCUGACCUCGGAGCCUCUGUCUGAGUGUACUUCUCACCUUGCCGGCUCUGUUCCAUGUCAUAGGAUGACUUUCCUUAGGGAAUUCAAGGAAGUGAGCGUGAAGCAUCUCCCACCUUGGAAACCAGAUGAAGAACUGCUCUCCAUGGAGGCCCUGCGGAUAAUUAUAGUCGUUUCUGGGAAAAGCUCUUAAUUCUGAGAACCCAUAUGGCUCCAGCCCCAUGUCACCGCUCCCGUUUCCCAAGGGCCCUGGACUCCAUCAGGGUCCUCUGCAAACUGGAGCAGAGUUCUUGGAAAUCGUGUCGUCCAGGCAGUGGAUUCCCUCUCCUGAGUUCACACCCAGGACAGGAUUCUACAGGAGCCUGGAGGGGCAGGAUGCUGUUUGGAGGAUCAGGGGACCCCCACCUAACAGGGGAGAUAGCCCUCUCAUGAGUCAGACUGACACAGACAUGGACAGCAAGCCAUAAACACAAGGCAAUUUUCUACCUGAGUGGUGAAGAGCCUUGCCAUGUAGAAAAAAAUAUUUCAUCAGAGGAGACUUCUCGGAGGAGGUGAUUAUGGGCAGGGGCUGGGAAGACACCAGAGAGAUAAGAGUGGUGUGGCUCCUCUCUGGAGGUGGGUGAGGGCACCUGGGUUAUACUGUGUCCAGGGACCAAGGACCUAGUUAGACGGGCUGGAGCAAAGAACCAGCAUGAUUGAAUUAGAUGGGUUGGGACAGCACAGAGGGAAGGCAAUGUCUCCUCGGAGGAGCUCAGUGAAAUCUAGGGGUGUCAGGCUGACAUUCUGUGGGACCUGUUUGGGAAAUAGUGCCACUCCCUUCGUUGGGAAAAUGCAAAUAGUGCCAGUUACUCCCCCAGCCCAGGGCCCUGGCUGGACUGCUUUCUGGGAGGAGCCCACCCUGCAGGAGGGAGGGUGGAAGGUGUGUGGUUUCAUAGGACUUCCUAGUAUGUGUGUGAGAAGGGUGGAGGGCACAUUGGAUAUUAAAGGGUGCAUCGCUGCUUUUACAAGUGACUAUGUGCGUAUCUUCCCAUCUGAAAAAGACGUGAUCUUGCAUAUCUGUGUAAAUGAGAGUGCACAUGUGCAUUACACGUAAGUCCCAGGGCUGCGCCCCCGCUUCCUUGAGUA